rnacentral:lncRNA from 1 species
AACCGAAGAAGAAAUCACGACCCCUGUCAAUAGACAAUCUCUGACAACCAGAGAAUAACACUGAAAAUUGUUACAACACAUAAUAUACCCUUAACUAACCCAGACCCCCAUUACAUCCACACCCUCUAAAAUAAAUAUUUAACUACAUCUCACAACACUCUAAUACAAGAGUAAAAGAGAACAAAGAAAGUCAAAUACAAGCUCUAAGUUCUUUUGACUGAUGCAUCUUGAAUGAAGAACUUGA